UACGAAGGGUGCAAGCGUUACUCGGAAUUACUGGGCGUAAAGCGUGCGUAGGUGGGUUGUUAAGUCCGAUGUGAAAGCCCUGGGCUCAACCUGGGAACUGCAUUGGAUCCUGGCAGGCUAGCGUGCGGUAGAGGGUAGCGGAAUUCCCGGUGUAGCAGUGAAAUGCGUAGAUAUCGGGAGGAACAUCCGUGGCGAAGGCGGCUACCUGGACCAGCACUGACACUUAGACACGAAAGCGUGGGGAGCAAACAGG
rnacentral:misc_RNA from 1 species